UUAGAGAGAAUAACAUAACAAACCAUUGUGAAUAAGACGUUCGCGUCUGGCGUUCGCGCCGUUACAAACUUAGCUUGGUCAGAAUGUAAAACUGUAACAAAAUACAACUUUCAACAACGGAUCUCUUGGCUCUCGCAUCGAUGAAGAACGCAGCGAAAUGCGAUAAGUAAUGUGAAUUGCAGAACACAGUGAAUCAUCGAAUCUUUGAACGCACCUUGCACCCUCUGGUAUUCCGGAGGGUAUGCCUGUCUGAGUGUCAUGUAGACUCAACCUUUCGGGUUCUACCCGGCUGGUUGGAUUUGGGCGUUGCCUAUUGCUGGCUCGCCUUAAAAGCGUUAGUGGUGUGAUGGGUGGCCUGGCGUAAUACGUUUCGUCGAGUUUACUUUGUAGCACUGCUCAUAACAACCAUACUUGUAACUCUGGCCUCAGAUCAGGUAGGACUACCCGCUGAACUUAAGCAUAUCAAUAAGCGGAGGAA
rnacentral:rRNA from 1 species